AUUUACGCUUUGGAGGUCUGAUGGCAGUGCUGCUGUUUGCCUUUGAUGCUGUUUAUCUUUCUUCUCAGUUGCUGCACCAACUCCGGCCUGGGAUGUCUGAUGAAGCUGAUCAAGUGCCUUUGGUGAUUUCUUUCCUGUGUGCUAAAGGGUUUAAUGGUUUUGCUAGCUGGCUGAGUGGUUUCCUAGGGCUAGUGCUCUAACGGUUUAGAUUGAUUUUUGGGGCUGGCUUAUGAGCUUUGACCUUUAUGUAUAUGACUUUGUCGCUAUUGUUAUAUCUACCCUUUGUGGCUUUUG
rnacentral:misc_RNA from 1 species